GCUUUUUUCAUUUGCUCUUCAUAAUAAAUCAUGCUGCUGCUAACUGUUUGGGUCCGUGCCAACAUUAUGAGCUAUAACACUCACCACAGGCAUCCGUGGCUUUAUUCUUGAAGUGAGCAAGACCAAGAACUCAUCAAUUCUGGACACAUUUUGGCUAUUUCGAAGAGACCAUCACCUAUCACCAAGCAGUGAGACCAUCACCUAUCACCAAGUGAAUUGAGGCCAUCACAGCUACAGAUGGUCUUUCAAAAUGGAAACCCAAAUGAGUUCAACUAACAACUUCUACUGAGAACCCCUGGACUGUCCCACUGGCCCUUCCACUGGCCUAAAGAGUUCCCCUCUGGUGGACACUACAACUGCAGGACCCCUUCUUCAUCCCUAUCCAGCAAGAAGUAGCUAGAACUCUUAUUGGCCAAAUUCCCAACAACAGUUGUAGUGUCCUCUUUAGAGGGGGGAUUGAUAUGUGAAUCUGGCUGGGCUUCUGGGUUCAGUGGGGACUUGGAUAAAUUUUCUGUCUAGCUAAGGGAUUGUAAAUGCACCAGUCAGCACUCUGUGUCUAGCUAAAGCUUGUAAAUGUACCAAUUGGCAUUCUGUGUCUAGCUAAUUGGGUAGGGGACUGUCUAGCUAAAGGAUAGUAAAUGCAACAAUCAGUGCUCUGUGUCUAGCUAAAGGUUUGUAAAGGCACCAAUCAGCACUCUGUCAAGAUAGACUAAUCAGCACUCUGUAAAAUGGAUCAAUCAGUGCUCUGUAAAAUGGA
rnacentral:lncRNA from 1 species